ACAGGAUAGGUGGGAGGCUUUGAAACCAGGACGCCAGUUUUGGCGGAGCCAUCCUUGGGAUACCACCCUUGUAGUACUGGGACUCUAACCAUAGGCCAUGAAUCUGGUCUUGGGACACUGUCAGGUGGGCAGUUUGACUGGGGCGGUCGCCUCCCAAAAGGUAACGGAGGCGCUCAAAGGUUCUCUCAGUACGGUCGGAAAUCGUACGUAGAGUGUAAAGGCAAAAGAGAGCUUGAUUGCAAGACAUACAGGUCGAGCAAGGAUGAAAAUCGGACUUAGUGAUCCGGUGGUUCUGCGUGGAAGGGCCAUCGCUCAACGGAUAAAAGCUACCCUGGGGAUAACAGGCUUAUCUCCCCCAAGAGUCCACAUCGACGGGGAGGUUUGGCACCUCGAUGUCGGCUCAUCACAUCCUGGGGCUGUAGUAGGUCCCAAGGGUUGGGCUGUUCGCCCAUUAAAGUGGUACGCGAGCUGGGUUCAGAACGUCGUGAGACAGUUCGGUCCCUAUCCGUCGCAGGCGUAGGAAAUUUGAGAAGACCUGUCCUUAGUACGAGAGGACCGGGAUGGACGUACCUCUGGUGUACCAGUUGU
rnacentral:rRNA from 1 species